rnacentral:rRNA from 1 species
AUAACUGGGCGUAAAGGGUACGUAGGCUUUUUGGUAGGUUUUCGGUGAAAGUCACAGGCUUAACUUGGUGAAUUGCCGGAAAAACUGCAGAGAUUGAAUCCGAAAGGGGAAAGCAGAAUUCCUGGUGUACCGGUGAAAUGCGUAGAUAUCAGGAGGAAUACCAGUGGCGAAGNCGGCUUUCUGGUUCGGAAUUGACGCUGAUGUACUAAAGCGUGGGUAGCAAACAGGAUUAGAUACCCUGGUAGUCCACGCCUUAAACUAUGGAUACUUGAUGUCGGGGCGUUCGGUCGACCCGGUGUCGUAGCUAACGUGUUAAGUAUCCCGCCUGGGGACUACGGUCGCAAGACUGAAACUCAAAGGAAUUGACGGGGGCCCGCACCAGCGGUGGAACAUGUGGUUUAAUUCGAUGCAACGCGAAGAACCUUACCUGGGCUUGACAUAUAUAUGGCGUAUGUAAGAAAUUAUGUAUUCUGUCUGUUUUUUCAGGUAGCAUAUAUACAGGUGAUGCAUGGCUGUCGUCAGCUCGUGUCGUGAGAUGUAGGGUUAAGUCCCUUAACGAGCGCAACCCUUGCUUUUAGUUGCCAUCAGGUAAUGCUGGGGACUCUAGAAGGACUGCCGAGGUUAACUCGGAGGAAGGUGGGGAUGACGUCAAGUCAGUAUGUCCCUUAUGUCCAGGGCUACACACGUGUUACAAUGGUCGGUACAGAGGGCAGCUAGGCAGCGAUGUCAUGCUAAUCCCGAAAGCCGGUCCCAGUUCGGAUUGGAGUCUGCAACCCGACU